GCCUGGGUGGCUCAGUUGGUUAAGCGUCUGACUUCAGCUCAGGUCAUGAUCUCACGGUUCACGAGUUCGAGCCUCGUGUUGGGCU
rfam:Felis catus isolate Cinnamon breed Abyssinian chromosome E3, whole genome shotgun sequence.